CUUGUACUCCCUCCGUCCGAAAAUACUUGUCAUUGAAAUGGAUGUAUCUAGAUGUAUUUUAGUUCUAGACACAUCCACAUUUUGAUGGCAAGUAAUUCCGGACGGAGGGAGUACUUG
rfam:Triticum aestivum genome assembly, contig: Triticum_aestivum_CS42_TGACv1_scaffold_501702_6BL